ensembl:misc_RNA Y_RNA Y RNA
GAUUUUUAUAAAGGUGUCAAGUUCACAGUUGCAGAUUGAACUGUUCAUUCUAUUCUUUACCCCCUUCUCACUACUGCACUUGACUAGUCUUUA